rnacentral:lncRNA from 1 species
CUUUACAACUCUCUGUGCUUCCAAAAUGUGGCCUUACCAGUUACAAAGACAUGACUAUCAAAAGCAAGCAGGUCUUUCCAGCCAUCUGCUCGGCAGGAAGGAGGACGGCUUGAUUAAGAUUGCACAUCCACUUCAGCUGGUGGCUUAAUCAGCCCCAAACCUAAAAGAGCUUUCACAGCUCCUUCUGCUCUUCCCCAAACCCCUCCUGUGGGGUCACCUGGUGAUGGUCUGGCUGGGCUCAGCUUGUGGACUAGGAUAUCACAGGACACAUGGAGUAACCACGAUUCAAUUGGGUUCUGGAGAUGGGUACCAGUCCUGCCAUCAGUCAGAGAUCUGUGGACUGCGCCAGCCCAGACAAGUCCAAGAGGAGGAUUCCAGGCAGUUAAGAUGGUUUCCGGAGAAGCCUGGAAUUUCCCCGUAAGCACAAGCUCGGCAGAAAAAGGCAGGGUCCCUCGGCAGCCAGGGCAGGGGCUGAGUCAGUCCCAAGUCUCCCUGGCAAAUGGAUCACCCCUUAGGGUGGGAAGAGCCCCCCAGCUGUGUGGGGAACCUGGCUAGAGGUUGCUGAACCUCUGCUUUCAAGGAGUCUUGUGACCCCGGGAGCAUAGAACAAUCGCGGAGGCGCUUACAUCCAAAAUCCAUUUUCCUUCAAAAAAGUGUCCAGGUGGAGGUAAAGAAAGAGGACCCUGUAUACUUUGGUAAAUCUGUGAUUUAGCUACAAUGUAACUGGGCCUUGGGAACCCAGGGUGAGGUUUCUUAUGUGACAUCUCCUGGAAAAGCUCCGCUCAAUUCCUGAAAAAUCCCUUAUCAGACACCGACAGGAAACAGGGAUUUCCAGGGAAAUGGAUGUGGAAGGCACCUGAAGGCCAUUCCAAAACUCCAAAGUUUUUAUUUAUUUUACUAACUUAGGUGACUUAGACAUACAACUUCCUGCAAACAGUGCAUUCAGCUUUGUGUUCCUAAGCAAAUAAAUGGAACAGAGGCCACCAAAACUAGGCCCGCUGGAAAGGGCAGAGCAGAUGCCCUUACACCCAUAGCCCCUGGGGGUCAUGCCUGUGAGUUCUUGCAUAUCAGCUUGUGACAGCGUUGUGACCUGCCCCUUUGUCACCUUGCCACCACAUCACCCCCCAGGGGUCUGGGCAUUUCCUCGAAGCUGCUUCCAGGACAGGAUCAGGAACGUGUUACUUGGGUGGGGGGCUGGGAGGGAGGCAAGGAGCUCUGGUUCUGCCCAUGUCCUCCAGCCUCGAGUGUGCAACUGCUCUUCUGGGAACUUGGGUCUCCUCAUCUGAAACACAGGGAAUUAGAGAAGAUGAUUUUGUAACGCUCGAAGGCUCUGUAAUCCCCAAAAACAUGCUCUAAAGGGAUCUCCAGUCCAGCAUAUCAACCCAAACAAAAGACAACGCUGUGGUUACUUGUUCAAAUGCCUCUUUCUUCUUGUAAACAGUGCACUCCCAAUGACAGAGGCCCUCUGCUACUCAUCAUCUAGGUAGCUGACAGGUGGCUGCCUGCGGUACCUGAUGUUUGGACAGACAAACAAAUGACCAGGUGACACCCAAGUGCGAUUCUCUCUGAUCGCCAUCCUGUAGCCUGUCUCCUUAGCUGGGCUCCAAGCUCUUUGGGGAGCGAGGAACAGAUCUGUUCUACAUAGAAUCUCCAAUCAGAGCUGACGGUGGCUCAGGAAGCACCAGGGUGCCCAGGCUAGUUGUUGAAAUAUUGAAGUACUUCUGUGCAGUUGCUGAGCCUGAGAGAGCCUCUCUCCCCUCCCCCGCCACCAAGCCCAACAUCUAUCCGAAGGUUUCCUCUCCACCAUCCAGCCACUGAAGGGUGGUGACUGAUGUAGCAGGGCUGUAGGCCUCUGCUCCAGGACUGUAUAUGCCUGGUGCCAUUCUGAUUGGCCAGCGCCCUUGCCAUACUGUCGUUAAAUGUUGAGUGGUAGACCAGCCCAAUGCAGGUGAUGGGGAGGGAGAGCAGAUGACUGGUAGGUGCCACCUGUCACCUGAGAAUAGAUAUAUGUAGGCCCUGCUUUCCCAAUGGACUGAGAAUGUUCCCAGCAAAGAAGUGGGCAGUGUGUGCUGCCUGACCCCAAGAAGACACAUGCCCAGAUCCCUAGCUGGACAGAACGAGGACCUCCAAGCACACCUGCAGGCAAAGGAAUGGGCUGAGUCUCAGCCCCCCGGACUUACGAGCCAGGCGGCCCCACCUGUCUAAACUUGCGUUUCCUCUUCUGUACACAGGAGACAGUUAAACCUACCUUCCAGUUUGCGUGAGGACUUGUGUCUAACACGGGCUCUGAUCUGUACCCACAGGUGGAGAGCGUGGAGGCGCAAAGGUUCUACUGGCUCUUCCCAGGCGCCCCCACACAAACUGGACUCCAAUCCAGGAGGAAGCACGGAGGCGGCCUAACCUGGGCCCUCCUCCAUCCACGGAGCUGAGGGCCCAGAGAGGGAGGGCAACUCGCCCUCCACCACACCCCGCACAGCAGCUCCCUCCUUCCCCAGGGCCCAGCCCUGACACCUCCUGUCCCUGCCGGAGCCCUGCACCUGAGGACCCAGAGCCACGCGGGACCUUCUUUCACAGCCAGGAGGCGUCGGGGAGCUUCCCAGGCUGACUCUGCUUCCCGUGCUUUCCCCACCGCCCCCGCCAGAAACUGGGGCCCAAAUGGCAGCAUCCCCACCCCACGGCGCCCCAGCGCUGCAAAGCGCAGCCCUUCCGUAAACGGCCUGGGGAAAUGAAGUUGGUGGACUCUGCCUGUCCUCGUCCGGUGUCACCUCCUGCCGGCCUCCUCAUUCUGCCAGGGCUUCUGGCUCCUCACCCGGGCACAGAGGCCCCUUCAGCAGCAGGGAUGGGGGCAUUCGGAGAAGGACUGGGGCCGGCUGAUCCUGGCCUGACAGAGGCCUCCUCACCCACUGGCACCAGCCCUGCCCUGAAGACGUGGUCGUAGCAUCGAUGCAAUCGGGGGGGAGCGUGGUGGGUGGGGCACAGCCUGAAGGAGGAGGUCGAGCAAACACGUGGCCUCAGCUGGGACGCAGCACUGUCUGCAGAGCCCCUCGAAUCCAGCUCCACAUCUGGUUCUCGGGGGCGCAGGGCUGCCCGUGCAGGAUUAUCGACCCUGUUUUCAGGGAACAGGAAACUGAGGCCAAGCGAGGGGUCCUGAGCCGCCCAAGGUCAGAGAGGUGGUGAGGGGGAGAGAUGCAACAGGGGGGUCCCCAGAGUAAGGGCGGGCAGGGCGGAUGCCUGUGCUGAGAUGUGGCGCCGAGGCCUUACGAGCACCCACUGAAGGUCUGUUCAGUCACCCCAAGAAUGUCUGGAGCCCGAGUAUCAUCUGGCAGCCACCCUGGAGAAGGAACCAAGAACGCGGGGGGAGUCGGAAAGGGGGGCCCACCGAGGGGAGAAAGGGGUCGGCGCCGCUGUUCGGGCUGGUUGCUUUCUGGGCUCCUGAGCCCGGUGCUGUCCCACCCUCCGGGAAAGUCUAAAGCAAGAGGUGCCACCGCCCUCCGUGUCCUGCAGGCUGAGGAGCAGUGACGCUAUUCAGCAAGAUGAGAAACACGGGCAGGAGGUAAGAACUGAGAUCUCCUUCCUGUCGGCAUCUGACGGGAGGAGGCAUGUGAAUCCCAGGAGAAAACAAAACCUAGAAAGCGGCUGAGCCAGGAGACCCCUGGGCGGUGGGCUUAGCAAGGGGCAGGGGUUACCCACAGUCCUCCCUAGCACCUCGUCCCCAUCCUCUGCCUUCACACCUGGGACUCUCUUCCAUGCUGGGGGAAACCUUCAGAUGAAUUGAUUCUCGCUGAGGUUGUGCAGACCGAUAUUAAGCCGAGCACAUAGAUACUCAGAAUAAAGACUGCAUUUCCCAGCAUCUCUUGCAGCAGAUAUGGCCACAUGUCUAGGAUCUAGUCAACAGGUAAAUGCAACAUUAGGGACUUUUCUUACAGGAAGUGGUCAUACCCUUUCCUUCCUUCCUGGUGGCUGGAAUACAGGCGUAAUGGCUGGAACUGAAACAGCCAUUUUUGAUCAUGAAGUAAUCUUGGGAAUUAAGCCAAGUUUAGAGAAGAAACAAGACAGAAGCAUACUGUGUGUCCCUGACCCCACGGAGCUGCCACACUGGCCUAGCCCACCGACAUUUUGAAAGUUUUAUGGAAAAAAAAUAGCUUUAUAGUUUAAGUUGUUUGUUAUUUGGGACAAAGUCAAUAUGAAAUAACACACCUUUUUUUUGUUGUUUGAAGUAAACUUUUGUUAGUUUUUUAAAUAAUUUUUAUUUGUAUUUCAAUAGUUUGGGGGGGUAAAGGUGGUUUUGGGUUACAUGGGUAAGUUCUUUAGUGGUGAUUUCUGAGAUUCUGGUGCACCCAUCACCCAAGCAGUGUACACUGUACCCAAUAUAUAGUCUUUUAUCCCUCAUCCCCUCUCAACCUUCCCCUACCCCAGCCCCAGAGUCGAUUUUAUCAUUCUUAUGCCUUUGCAUCCUCACUGCUUAGCUCCCGCUUAUAAGUGAGAACAUAUGAUGUUUGGUUUUCCUGAAUCACUUCACUUAGAAUAAUGGUCUUCAACUCCAUCCAGGCUGCUGUGAAUGCCAUUAUUUCAUUCCUUUUUAUGGCUGUGUAGUAUUCCAUGGUGUAUAAAUACCUUAUCCACUCAUUGGUUGAUGGGCACUUAGGUUGGUUCCAUAUCUUUGCAGUUGUGAAUUGUGCUGCUCCAAAUGUGUGUGCAUGUGUCUUUUUCAUAUAAUGACUUCUUUUCCUCUGGAUAGAUACCCAGUAGUGGGAUUGCUGGAUUUAAUGAUCGUUCUACUUUUAGUUCUUUAAGUAAUCUCCAUCUGUUUUCCAUAGUGGUUGUACUAGUUUACUUUCCCACCAGCUGUGUGAAAGUGCUCCCUUUUCACCGCAUCCAUGCCAACAUCUGUUGUUUUUUGAUUUUUAAUUAUGGCCAUUCUUGCAGGAGUAAGGUGAUAUCUCAAAGUGGUUGAAAUUUGCAUUUCCCUGAUGAUGAUUAGUGAUGUUGAGCAUUUUUUCAUAUGAUGGAGGCUGUUUGUAUAUCUUCUUUUGAGAAUCGUCUAUUCAUGUCCUUUGUCCCCUUUUGCAUGGGAUUGUUUGUUUGUUUUUUUCUCGCCGAUUUGUUUGAGUUCCUUGUAGAUCCUGGAUAUUACCUUUGUCGGAUGCAUAGUUUGCAAGCAUUUUCUCCUCCUCUGGGGUUGUCUGUUUACUGUGCUGAUUAUUUAUCUUGCUGUGCAGAAGCUUUUUAGUUUAAUUAGAUCCCAUUUAUUUAUUU